UUAGACUACAUCUGUGGACUCUCCUUGUGCUGAACUUACCGUCCUUUUCUGGUGAGGUGUGCUUCCUGUCCUGCUCUCCACCAUGGACCUCAAGGGCAAAGGGUCCCUCCUCCUGCUGGUCAUGUCAAUCCUGGUCCUGUU